UAUAGCUGUAUAAAAAAGGCAGAAAAGUUAAUGCUAACAUAUGUUGCUUCAUGUUCCCAGAGCAAAAACAUUUGCAGGAUAUUAGUCCGGAGCGCAGGUGGUAAGCAAUCAAUACCUUUAUUUAUUUAUUUUUAAGGGAUGGCAGGACAGCUCACAUAAGGAAGGAGGUGAACGUAUAGAAGCCCUAUAGACCCAUUAUAUUCAUGUGUCGAUACUGUAGGCAUUGUAUUACAUACACUUUAAGGGUCUGUACCCAGCUACCAGGAUCUCUAAAGCUAAAUCAUCCUCUUAGCAAGUCACCAACCGAAAGAUACAUUUUCCUCUGCUUGUGCUUCUACCUGCCACAGGCAUCAACGAGCCAGGCCCCCGGUGCAGAGGUCCUCCCGAGCCCCCCGGGGGCCCAGGGCCGCGUUUCUGCAUCUGCCCUCUCCUUACGGCAAGGUUGUGUUCAGCAAGAGGUGUUUACACCUAGCGUGGUGGCUCGGUUCUAAAGGGGUGAGAGGACGACGUGUGCCAUGGGGGCAAUUAGGCAAAGACUGUGCAGGGGCUCCUCUCUGCGUCAUCGUCAUGGUCGUGGAGAGCGAGCAAGGUGACGGAUAGAGCAGCAGUGCGAGGGCCUUGUGACUACUGAAUUUGAUUUAGGAGAUCCUAGUUGAAGGGCACAAAUCAUAUACAGUUUCCAGUGUCAUGGAUCCCAGUUUAUAAAACGCUGAAAAUGCUUUCUGUCUCCUUAUUGAUGUAGACUUUUGGGGUAAGGGACUGGUUUCUGGCACAAGCUUUUAGAUGACGUAGCCCAAAAGGUACAGGCUCCUGUAGGCAACUAACCAUGCACCAUUGUGAUGAUGGUACCCAGACAUGACAUCUCUAUUUACAACUACGCAGACUGUAGAUUUUUCUUUAUGGAUACAUAUUCUUAGAGAGAAAUCUUUCUUUCCUUAAUCUCAAAUAUGUGAUUGGCCGUUACUUGUAUCUCAAACGGAUUUCACUGGAAGAGUCUUCUGGUGGUUAAUUGUGACAGAACAUGAACUUUUCAUCUUUUCUGUUGCCGUAAGUGAUCAAAUAGAGUCAAAACUCUAUUUCCUGCUUUACUGUGUCUUCUGAGGGGGAGGCGGAGGGCUGCUGGUGUGAGAUCAUCCCCUUGCAGAGGACGGUGGACUGGGCUCCGAGACCACAAUCUAAAUACAGAUGAAAUAACUGGCAAGGCUCCGAGAUAUUGCUUCAGGACCUCAUAUAUCUUCCUUGCCUUCAGGAUCCAGGUGUUGCAAGUUACAGAGUUGAUCCUCCUGACAUCAAAUAGGGUUUCCUCAAUUCAUAGGACCAACAGAAGGGUUGACCACAAAGAUCCAGGACUUACAGGUGUUGUGGUGAUUUGAUUUGCAGGGCACGUAGAGCUGACAUUAUCUUCCAUGGAGAGUGAACGUCCUAAGUGCUCAUUGCAUCAGGCCCACAGUUUGCUUUCCCAUUCAGACCAGGGCCAGGUACUCCAGUAUAAGUUGGGAACUUUGGAGCUAGGACUCAUAGGCUCUUUGCUUCCCAUCCUCACUGUAAGACUGUCUAGGAGAUGGCCUGGUGGGACAGCAGGCAGGACUUGGAUCUAUGUAGCAGCCUGGGCUCUACUGGGACUCCGCCUGUUUUCCCUUGGGCCUUUGUCCAUACUGACAUUUUCAUGGAGCGCUUUGAUCAUUGACAAAUUGUUUUCUGCCAGAAAUGUUUCACCAGGGAGUUUGCAAACUGCUCUUAAGAGUAGGUUAACUAAUAAUUAAUGAUGCUUUUUCUACAUGCAUUCCCACAGGACCCGUUGCCGGUGGUUUGAUUGAAAACAUGAAUGAGUUAAGCUUUAUUCCGUCACUGCAAGUUAGAGAAAUAGGUACAGGACCAGUCUGUCAGGCUGUUGGCACAAAACAACAAUUGUUUUAUUGUUGGGAUGGGACACACCAAGGAGAAAAAGAGCGAGUGAAUCUAGAGAUGAUCGUGAGAGCCAUCAGGAUCUUGUGUAGCAGCUCUGUGUCUUCUACCACUUUCUGUGCUUUUCAGGCACCAAUUUUUUAAAAUUUUUGUUUCAAGGUGCUUCAGUUUCCAUGUGGGAGAUUUACAAGUUCAGUCCUUCAUGAGGCCCUACCCAAAGUGAAUCCUCUUUAAAAUGAGAUUUCUUUGAAGAGAUCACAAAUCAGCACCCCUGAAGUCACAAUACAAUUUCAAGCAAUUUUAUUUUGAAAAACAUUUUCUAGUUUUUAAUAGCAAAAUUCAGCUUGACUUCCCUGCUUCCAGUGGAGCAAGUGACAAAUUGUUUAUCAAGAUAAUGUGAUUCACGGGAGCCUGGCGGUGACUACACCUGAGGCGUAAGUGUUGUCACCAGUCACCAAACUCCUUAAAAUGCAGCACUGUAAAACUAGCAGAAACCCCUGAGCCUUCCAAGGGCGAGAUACCACAGACUGAGGCAAG